UGCGUGGUGAAAGUUGGUUCUUUUAAUUGUUUUUGCAGCCUAUCAGCCUGGAUGUAGUCACCCUGCCAGAAGGAUGAAAUUUACAGCAGAAGAAUUAAUUUAACACCGAAAAAGCUCUUCCUCAUCUGAACUGUCAUUCAAAAUGAAUGAUAAAAGUCACCAAGGAGAAGUUUUCUGUCCCACUAUUUGCAGGACUCCUGGAAAAAUCUUCUGAAACUUGAGCACAUCUGUCUCAGACUGCUCUUAAAAAAGGUGAAGUAGUAAUCUGGCAAAACGAACUCAAAACACACAAGGAGGAGUCAUAGGAGACUAAUCUGCAAGGUAUUGAGGAAGGAGAACACUUGUGGGAUAAUUCCCUUUCCGUACUUCUCGUGAGCGGAUGGUGACAGACUUGCUGUGGAUGUGCAAAGGGACAACUUAGCAGCAGCAAGUGAUUCCAUACAUGUCUAUAU